UUACGGCCAUAUCAAGUCGAAACACCAGUUCUCGUCCUAUCACCGAAAUUAAGCAACGUCGAGCCUGGUCAAUAUCAAGAUGGGUAACCAAUUAGGAAUAGCAGGGGCUA